GCUGCCCUAGGCACGCCAAGGAACAGAGGAGGGCAGGUAUCUUCUGGGCACCCUCUGGAGUCAAAUCAAGAUUUGAGGUACCCUGAGGAGCCUCGUAGCCAAAGGUUGGAAACGACAGCACCGAGGCACACACGGAGCAUGUUUCAACAUCCACGUCCGACCGAGGAUGGAUUUUGUCUGCUCCUUUUCCAAAAGCUAAGUGUCGGGGCCAGCAGUUGGGAGAAGGGGAAAAACCUUUACUAUCACAGAGGGCAAUUUGAUGUCAGCUUAGCGGAGAGGUCCCCGAGGCUACCGAUUUCCCCAGAACCUACCAACUGACGUCAAGGAGCACAGCCAGAUGAUGUGUCGCAGCACGUUCUUCAGCGUCUCGAGGUGAGCACAGGGUGAACUCUCUCCUCCUUGCUGUGACACCUGGGCUGGCAGGGAUGACACAGUGACCUCGGCCAGCCGAUGCUGCCUGUGCCAUCACCUGGCACUGACGUGUUUGAUGAAAAUCCUUUUGCUGGGAUUUUUCUCCUGAGAAGCCUCAGAACAGAAAUGGAACCAAUUACGAUCUGCUGGCUGUGGAGUGUGGGCUGGAGAUGGUUUAGCAACAGGGGCAUCUUGGAUUAGUCUCCUGUGCAGUGUCUACUUGAUGACCAAUCAUGGUCCAGCUGCGUCGGGGCUGUGAGCAGUCCCAGGUUUUUAUUAUUCAUUCCUUUCCAGCUUUCUGAUGUCUCCUUGCUCUUUUAGUAUAGUUCUACUAUCUCAUUUUCUUUUAAUAUAAUAGAGAUCAUAAAAUAAUAUUUCAGCCUUCUGA